rnacentral:pre_miRNA from 15 species
AUUCAUCCCUGGGUGGGGAUUGGGUGCAUUACUUGUGUCCUGUGUGAAGUAUUGCACUUGUCCCGGCCUGUGGAAGAAAG